rnacentral:rRNA from 1 species
UGUAACGGGGCUAAACCAUGCACCGAAGCUGCGGCAGCGACGCUUAUGCGUUGUUGGGUAGGGGAGCGUUCUGUAAGCCUGCGAAGGUGGCCUGUGAGGGUUGCUGGAGGUAUCAGAAGUGCGAAUGCUGACAUAAGUAACGAUAAAGCGGGUGAAAAGCCCGCUCGCCGGAAGACCAAGGGUUCCUGUCCAACGUUAAUCGGGGCAGGGUGAGUCGACCCCUAAGGCGAGGCCGAAAGGCGUAGUCGAUGGGAAACGGGUUAAUAUUCCCGUACUUGGUGUUACUGCGAAGGGGGGACGGAGAAGGCUAUGUUGGCCGGGCGACGGUUGUCCCGGUUUAAGCGUGUAGGUGUGUGUUCCAGGUAAAUCCGGUUCACUUUAACACUGAGGCGUGACGACGAGGCACUACGGUGCUGAAGCAACAAAUGCCCUGCUUCCAGGAAAAGCCUCUAAGCAUCAGGUAACAUCAAAUCGUACCCCAAACCGACACAGGUGGUCAGGUAGAGAAUACCAAGGCGCUUGAGAGAACUCGGGUGAAGGAACUAGGCAAAAUGGUGCCGUAACUUCGGGAGAAGGCACGCUGACACGUAGGUGAAGUGAUUUACUCAUGGAGCUGAAGUCAGUCGAAGAUACCAGCUGGCUGCAACUGUUUAUUAAAAACACAGCACUGUGCAAACACGAAAGUGGACGUAUACGGUGUGACGCCUGCCCGGUGCCGGAAGGUUAAUUGAUGGGGUCAGCGCAAGCGAAGCUCCUGAUCGAAGCCCCGGUAAACGGCGGCCGUAACUAUAACGGUCCUAAGGUAGCGAAAUUCCUUGUCGGGUAAGUUCCGACCUGCACGAAUGGCGUAAUGAUGGCCAGGCUGUCUCCACCCGAGACUCAGUGAAAUUGAACUCGCUGUGAAGAUGCAGUGUACCCGCGGCAAGACGGAAAGACCCCGUGAACCUUUACUAUAGCUUGACACUGAACAUUGAGCCUUGAUGUGUAGGAUAGGUGGGAGGCUUUGAAGUGUGGACGCCAGUCUGCAUGGAGCCGACCUUGAAAUACCACCCUUUAAUGUUUGAUGUUCUAACGUGGACCCGUUACCCGGGUUGCGGACAGUGUCUGGUGGGUAGUUUGACUGGGGCGGUCUCCUCCUAAAGAGUAACGGAGGAGCACGAAGGUUGGCUAAUCCUGGUCGGACAUCAGGAGGUUAGUGCAAUGGCAUAAGCCAGCUUGACUGCGAGCGUGACGGCGCGAGCAGGUGCGAAAGCAGGUCAUAGUGAUCCGGUGGUUCUGAAUGGAAGGGCCAUCGCUCAACGGAUAAAAGGUACUCCGGGGAUAACAGGCUGAUACCGCCCAAGAGUUCAUAUCGACGGCGGUGUUUGGCACCUCGAUGUCGGCUCAUCACAUCCUGGGGCUGAAGUAGGUCCCAAGGGUAUGGCUGUUCGCCAUUUAAAGUGGUACGCGAGCUGGGUUUAGAACGUCGUGAGACAGUUCGGUCCCUAUCUGCCGUGGGCGCUGGAGAACUGAGGGGGGCUGCUCCUAGUACGAGAGGACCGGAGUGGACGCAUCACUGGUGUUCGGGUUGUCAUGCCAAUGGCACUGCCCGGUAGCUAAAUGCGGAAGAGAUAAGUGCUGAAAGCAUCUAAGCACGAAACUUGCCCCGAG